rnacentral:rRNA from 1 species
CCUACGGGAGGCAGCAGUGGGGAAUAUUGCACAAUGGGGGAAACCCUGAUGCAGCGACGCCGCGUGAGUGAAGAAGGAUCUCGGUACGUAAAGCUCCAUCAGCAGGGGAGAAAAUGACGGUACCUGACUAAGAAGCCCAGGCUAACUACGUGCCAGCAGCGGCGGUAAUACGUAGGGUGCCAGCGUUAUCCGGAUUGACUGGGUGUAAAGGGAGCGUAGACGGCCGCACAAGUCUGGAGUGAAAUCCCGGGGCUUAACCCCGGAACUGCUUUUGAAACUGUGCGGCUGGAGUGCAGGAGGGGUAAGCGGAAUUCCUGGUGUAGCGGUGAAAUGCGUAGAUAUUAGGAGGAACACCGGUGGCGAAGGCGGCUUACUGGACUGUAACUGACGUUGAGGCUCGAAAGCGUGGGGAGCAAACAGGAUUAGAUACCCGUGUAGUC